UGGAGAGUUUGAUCCUGGCUCAGGAUAAACGCUGGCGGCGUGCUUUAUGCAUGCAAGUCGAACGGUCUUGAUUUAUCAAGAUAGUGGCGAACGGGUGAGUAACACGUAAGUAACCUGCCCUAAAGUGGAGAACAACUUCGGGAAACUGGAGCUAAUACUGCAUGUGAUGGCAGAGGUAGUGCUUUGUCAUUAAAGCCUUCGGGCGCUUUUGGAGGGGCUUGCGUUCGAUUAGCUUGUUGGUAGGGUAACGGCCUACCAAGGCGACGAUCGAUAGCUGGUCUGAGAGGAUGAUCAGCCACACUGGGACUGAGACACGGCCCAGACUCCUACGGGAGGCAGCAGUGGGGAAUAUAGGACAAUGGGCGCAAGCCUGAUCCAGCCAUGCCGCGUGAGUGAUGAAGGCCUUAGGGUUGUA
rnacentral:rRNA from 1 species